rnacentral:lncRNA from 1 species
AUAACUUAUUACUGCAUUCAAAUAAGGCCUUCAAACAUUAUACCGAUUUUAAUAUCCCUCUAAUCUAUUACUUCCUAUCAAUCCCCAAUAACAAAAGCUGAGAUGGCAUGACCUCUUUUUUUGAAAUUUUUUUCUGAUUUUUUUUUAUUUUGAUAUUUAUUGUUGCAUUUCAAAUUCCACAUAAUCUUCUAUAUUUUAUACUAACCGUUUCUAUUAGCAAUUAAUUUUCUAAAUUAGAAAACGGUUCCUCGUAAUUGCAAUUGAUAAAUUAUUAUAAAGUGUGAUAAUUAAUUGUCAAAUUAUAUAAAAAAAAUAUGGUCCAUCUUUCUUGCUUCAUAGAUGUUGUCAUUUCUUACCAAGAAAAAUCUUUUCAACUUACCAUAUUUUUACUCAUUAAAUUUUACAAAUCAAUUUAUUAUUUGUUACUAAUUAAUGAUCCACCUUUUUUUUUUUUUUCUAAAACUACAUCUUAUUUAGUAACUAUCACGAAAUAUUAAUUCUAUUAUUUAUAUUUUUAAAAUUUCGCUCAUCCUUUAAAAUAUUUCAAGUUAUAUAUACAGUAACUCAUUUGAUCCUAUAAUUUUUCUCCAACCCUCUCUCCGUUAGCUUUGAAGGAGAGGAGAGUGAGUCAAGCCUGGAAAAGAACAGGUCUGAUUGUUAUCGUAUACAUUUUAAAAUUUUAAUUAUUAUUAUUUUAAAAAAAAAAUUUAAAAUUUUAUUUUUAUUAUCUAUCCGCCGCAUCGCGCGGGUCUGUAACACUAGUAGGAUUUAAAGAGCAGUGUAUGAUCCAUAUAUAUAUAUAUAUAGAGUCCAGCUAUGGUGCUUGUAAAAGUACCAAGCAUUUGGUACUUGUAAGUUUUUUACCGUUAAAUCUACUUCUCGGAUCAUUUUCAAUCAUUAGAUUAUACUAUUCAACCAACCAUUCAUUCAACCCUAGGAGGCCCACAUCAUCCUAACCGCAUAUCUCUUAAUCCAAUGGCUAAAAAUCUACAAGCACCAAUAACUUGGUACUUUUAAAAGUAUAGAAGCUCAAUUAUAUAUAUAUAUAUAUAUAUUAUACGAACAUUAAUCAAAAGAAGUAAUAAUUUCACUAGCUCAUAAAUCUUAAUUACCAAUGAUAAAGGCUUCUCUAUUACUAAAAUUUCCUAUAACAAUAACAAAAGCUAAUAAAAUAUUUUUCAAUUAUUAAAAAAUAAAACACAAUCUUUAAAUAUUAUUUUAAGACACAAAUUAGCUAGUAUGUUUUUAUUUAUUAAUGGGAAAACUUCAAAAACCCCCCCUGUAGUUUCGUGCAUUCUCACUUUGCUACCCUGUGGUUUAAAACGUAUCAAUUUGCCCUCCUGUGGUUUCGUUUUUAUCUUUUUGUUAUCAAUUUUAUUAUUAUUUUUUUUUAAAUCAGUGACAAAGUUAAAAUUAAAGGAUACUAAAGUGACUAUUCGAUAAAUAUAGAUGGUUAUCUGAAGUUUUUUGUAUAUAAUUUAACGAAAUAUUAACGAAAAAGCGUCCGAAAAGAUAAAAAUGAAACCACAGGGGGUAAAUUGAUACGUUUUAAACCACAUGGUAGCAAAGUGAAAAUGCACGAAACCACAGGAGGGGUUUUUGAAGUUUUCCCUUUAUUAAUUAAUCGGACUAUAUACGAUUUUCUUUUUUUUUUUCCAACCUCACCUCGCCGUAAAUUAACCCCCUAC